rnacentral:pre_miRNA from 1 species
UAAAUGCUCCCUCCGUUUCAAAAAAUUUGUCUUAGAUUUGUCUAGAUAUAAAUGUAUCUAGUCAUGUUUUGAUAUUUAGAUACAUCAAUUUCUAAACAAAUCCAAGACAAGAAUUUUGGGACGGAGGAAGUAUAAG